GGUUGUGGCUCAGUGGUGGAGCACUUACCUAGCAUAUAUGAGGUGCUGGGUUCAAUUCUCAGCACCA
rnacentral:tRNA from 1 species